UUUCCUGCUCGCAAAAGACGUCCUGCGAAAAAUCGACGGGAGAGAACGACCGCGAUGAUCGAGGGUCGAGUAGGGGCUGUCUUUCUCGAGAAUCGAUCGCCACACUCUCAACGAACUCGCUUCUCUAAUUAUAUUCUCUAAUUAUUCUUCAAAUAACUUGGACAUAAUUAUUUAUAGAUCUGACGCGCGCGCGCCUCUGGUUACUUAAAGUCGAGAAAGUAGAGAUGUCGUUCGUGAGAAAUCUCUCAAUUUUCUCUAAGGGAUCCGAAUCUCGAGAAAUUCAAGCAUCAUAACGUAUAAUUAAUAAGAUAGGCAAACUUCGGCGCAAAUACAUUUUCAUGAGGCUACGAGAACUUUUGUCGCACUUUAGUAUAGUGGACUUCGCAAUUCUCGGGGCUCGGUGCUUCGUGUCGUCCACGUCGGAAAUUGAUCCAAACACUUUUCCGAAAGGUGCGAACAGCCGCACCGAGGUAAGAUAGAAUAGAGUAUCCAACGUAUCAACGAGAUUGCCGAGGCAUCGGUAUCGAAUCGAGGAUCGCAGGAGACUACGGGGACGACGUCACGGGACGAACAGGAGAGAAUACUCCGAUGGAGGUUUUCCAAUAGCUUCUCGAAGAAACGCGUCGGUACCAUCGAAAGACCACUAGAUUUCGACGAGGAAACCCGACCCGCGACCCGCAACAACGACAGUCUCCUCGUGUAUCAUCGAGACGGGACGCAACGUAAUUACAGUGACACGCGACGGAUUCGCACGUGAACAAUGCGGAGCAGUGACCAAUUGCGGAGGUAGUGAACCGCGAAAGUUCAGUGACCAUAAGAGAUGUUAGUGCCAACCCGACGAGGAACCAAAGUGUACGAUCGUUCUGUAGCUAUCGGAUUGCUCGUGUACGAAAAUAGUCGGUGGAAUAUCGGACCGAAACGACGAUCGUGCCAAGGCGACAGCAGCAUCGUAUCGAUGCCUUCUCCGAGGUAUCAUCCGAGGACGAUUGACCACGCGCUGUUAAUGGCCGCGAGGAACCCGACGGAUAUUACGAGGAGGAUCUAUCGAGAAGGACGUCAAAGGGCGCGGAUUCCCGUUCGUCGCUCACAGGACGUAUUUCGUAUCUCGAGAAAAGUAUGAAGGAGCAUACACGGUCGCCUGUUGCAUGCAACGAUCUAACGUGAACGCGCGACUUCCCUGAGACAAGUCCGCGUCGACGACGCGCUCUUCUAGGUCGAAGUGAAGGCGCGCUAAAGCCGACGUCGCGACAUCGUUCUCUCCUUCUCCCCGAGGACGCACCUAUUCGCAGGCAUUCGGAGGCCGUGCGUCUUUUCGAAAUACCGAGCCUCCGCUCUUGGG